GCAGCAGCUCCACUCGUGGCUUUUUUGGUCGUUAACUGGAGAUCAUUCUCAUGGACUUUCCCGCCCAGGCUGGCUUUGAACAGCAAUCCUCAGCUAUCAUCCUCCUGAGUAGCUAGGAUUACAGGCACAAGCCACCAGAACUUGGCUCAUACCUGGCUCUUUUUA